rnacentral:rRNA from 1 species
AUGCUUAAAAUUGAUCUUGCUAAGGCUUUCGAUCGUUUAGAAUGGAGCUUCAUUGUUUCAGCUCUUGCACGUAAAGGAUUGCAUGCUCAUUUCAUAAAUUUGAUUUAUGAGUGCAUUUCUUCUCCUACUUUUUCUGUGGUCAUUAAUGGUAGGCCUUCUCAUAAAUUCAAAAGUUCUAGGGGUAUUCGUCAAGGUUGUCCUAUGUCCCCUUAUUUGUUUGUUAUUGCCAUAGAAUUAUCUCUUGCUCUUAACGAAGCUUUAGCUGCUCAUAGUCUUCAGGGUAUUUUGCUUGGAACAAAUUGCCCCCUGAUUCACUCUCUUUUGUUUGCAGAUGAUUUGUUGGUAUGUGGUCAAGCUACUGUUCAGGAAGCUAAUGCUAUGGCCAACAUUAUCAAUCAUUUUUGU